UCAGGCCCUCUGUUGGGGUAUGGAGGAGGCUCUGCUAUUGCACACACGCUCGCUCUCGCGUACACGCACACACACACACACACCUCCCUGUGCCUUUCAGAAAAAGGCCCAGAAGCUAUCCAAGGAGGAGGCCCUUCCUCCACCCUCCCACUCCCCCCCCCGCUCCAGGGGCUGCUCUGAUCGCAUGAAAGAGGGAGGGAUCUGCCAUGCCUAGGCUGAGAAAAACAAAAGGGAGAGGCAAACCCAGACAGAGAGUGCCAGGUCUGAGAUUACCACCAUUCCUCCUAACAGAGGCUCAAACAACUUCUUGACAGACCAAAAUGCAACUGGUACACAACUGAUGGGGUCCUAGAGCUGCCUCUAAUACAGAACCCUUGGAAAUCCAGUACCAAAAGAGAAGACAUCUCUCAAAUGCUACAUGAGACCUGCAGUGAGGCAGCAGGGAUGCAUGAAAUGUGAUACUGUCCAAAAAUAAGGAACACUAUGUAAUUCUCUGUGUCUGUUCUAUGGCCAUUCUCUGCUCUGUGCAAUGGUGAUAUUGCAAAAUAAAGAGUAUGAGUGCUCUAACAAAUGAGAA